UACGUAGGGUCCGAGCGUUGUCCGGAGUUACUGGGCGUAAAGCGCGCGCAGGCGGCUCGUCAAGUCUGGCGUGAAAGCCCCCGGCUCAACCGGGGAGGGUCGUCGGAGACUGGCGGGCUUGAGGGAGGUAGGGGCUGGUGGAAUUCCCGGUGUAGUGGUGAAAUGCGUAGAGAUCGGGAGGAACACCCGUGGCGAAGGCGGCCAGCUGGGCCGACCCUGACGCUGAGGCGCGAAGGCGUGGGGAGCGAACGGG
rnacentral:rRNA from 1 species